rfam:Heligmosomoides polygyrus genome assembly, scaffold: HPBE_scaffold0000355
GCGCUGGUGGUGUAGGGCGAUCAUCGCCGCCCGGAAAGCAGAUGAUGCGGGUUCGAGUCCCGCUUGGGGCA